rnacentral:RNase_P_RNA from 3 species
AAAGCAGACCGUCUUAUCGCUCUAAUUUAUUUAGAGAGGAAAGUCCGGACACCACAGAGUAGCAUAGCGGAUAACAUCCGUCAUUCAUAUUACACAUUGAAUAGGACAAGUGCAACAGAAAGCAAGUACAGUUAGGCUGUAGUGAAACCAGGUAAACUCUAUGCGGUGCAAUGCCAUGUAAAUUGGAGUUUGAGAGUUACUCGCUCGAUUUCAAAGGGUAGGCAGUUUGAACUAUUGAGUAAUUGAUAGUCUAGAUAAAUGAUAAGAAUCCUAUAAGGAUACAGAAUCCGGCUUAUAGGUCUGCUAUUUUU